UGGGGAAUAUUGGACAAUGGGGGGAACCCUGAUCCAGCCAUGCCGCGUGUGUGAAGAAGGCCUUAUGGUUGUAAAGCACUUUAAGCGAGGAGGAGGCUCUUCUAGUUAAUACCUAGGAUGAGAGGACGUUACUCGCAGAAUAAGCACCGGCUAACUCUGUGCCAGCAGCCGCGGUAAUACAGAGGGUGCGAGCGUUAAUCGGAUUUACUGGGCGUAAAGCGUGCGUAGGCGGCUGAUUAAGUCGGAUGUGAAAUCCCUGAGCUUAACUUAGGAAUUGCAUUCGAUACUGGUCAGCUAGAGUAUGGGAGAGGAUGGUAGAAUUCCAGGUGUAGCGGUGAAAUGCGUAGAGAUCUGGAGGAAUACCGAUGGCGAAGGCAGCCAUCUGGCCUAAUACUGACGCUGAGGUACGAAAGCAUGGGGAGCAAACAGG
rnacentral:rRNA from 1 species